AGUUUGAUCAGUGGCUCGAGGACGAACGCUGGCGGUGUGCUUCACACAUGCAAGUCGAACGAGGUAGCAAUACCUAGUGGCGGACGGGUGAGUAACGCGUGGGAAUCUGCCUUUAGAUGGGGGAUAACGGGUCGAAAGACUCGCUAAUACCGCAUAUGACGAAAGUUGAAAGGUGUAAUCCGUCUAAAGAUGAGCCCGCGUCCGAUUAGCUAGUUGGUAGAGUAAAAGCCUACCAAGGCGACGAUCGGUAGCUGGUCUGAGAGGAUGAUCAGCCACAAUGGGACUGAGACACGGCCCAUACUCCUACGGGAGGCAGCAGUGGGGAAUUUUACGCAAUGGGCGAAAGCCUGACGUAGCGACACCGCGUGAGCGAAGAAGCCCCUUGGGGUGUAAAGCUCUGUCAGCUGGAACGAAAAAAUGACGGUACCAGCAGAGGAAGCAUCGGCUAACUACGUG
rnacentral:rRNA from 1 species